rnacentral:rRNA from 1 species
AAACAACUCUCAGCAACGGAUAUCUUGGCUCUUGCAACGAUGAAGAACGCAGCGAAAUGCGAUACGUAGUGUGAAUUG